rnacentral:rRNA from 1 species
UACGUAGGGUGCAAGCGUUAAUCGGAAUUACUGGGCGUAAAGCGUGCGCAGGCGGUUCGCUAAGACAGAUGUGAAAUCCCCGGGCUUAACCUGGGAACUGCAUUUGUGACUGGCGGGCUAGAGUAUGGCAGAGGGGGGUAGAAUUCCACGUGUAGCAGUGAAAUGCGUAGAGAUGUGGAGGAAUACCGAUGGCGAAGGCAGCCCCCUGGGCCCAAUACUGACGCUCAUGCACGAAAGCGUGGGGAGCAAACAGG